UCUCUGCCCCUCCCCCACCCAUGCUCUGUGUGUCUCUCUCUCAAAAAUUAAAAUUAAACAUUAAAGAAAAAUUAAAACCUUGUGCCAUUUUUUGUAGACACACAGCAUGUAAUACACAAAUGGAAUCACUCUUUAAGCUCUUUUCAUCAGACACGACACUACAUUAUCUUUUUAAAUUCCUGUUUCUCUACUGCUAUGAAGUUUUAUACAGUCAUGAUGGUCAUUUUUAUUCUGACCUUGAGUUCACUAGGAGGCCAAGAAUAAAGGCCAGAAAAAUAUCACAUGGGAAAGGUGGACCAUCUAAACAACAUGAUAUAUGAUGUUUCUUCACAUAACUGGAGGAUGUAAAUAAAGGCUAAUCUUCUUCCUAUCCAUUCUUGUUCUUCUUGUUCUGUUUAGAGAAAUGCUUUUCAGAAAACACUACAAAAGGAGUGUCUCUCUCUCUCUUUCUCUCUCUCUCUCUCUCUCUCACACACACACACACACACACACACACACACACACACAAAGUUCACACAAUUUAAGUCCAUAUCCAAAGACAUGUGACCUCCACAAAAAGAUACACAGCCCCAUAUACAAUGUUAAACUUCUUCCAAAACCUGGAAUUUCUGCCCAAGGUUAGGGUCAGUCUUUGAGAAAACAGUAUUUCUUAGUGAUCCAGAACCAUGUGUAAAAUUAAGUUGAAAAAGGGGACAAAGCAGUUUCUGAAUCAGAAUAUGGCAGAAAUACUAAAAGGGGUACAUCAGGACACAGGUAAUAUGCUCUUUCUCAGGAAUAAGACUCAGUCAGCAGCAGGGUGGACCUGAUAAGGGAAGCCAGAAUAUGGGAGCCAGACCAGCUGUGGGAAGAAAACACAAUAUAAGAAUUUCCCAGCUAUAUGCAGUACUCAGAGACAUAAUCAUAAGACAGGCCCAGUGUCCAGCCACAGGUGAAUGAGCCAGCAUGAGGGCGGAGCAUUGCACCAUGGGAGACUGGCAGCCUGGGCAGCAAGGGGAGCACACUCAGCUACGGCAUCUGAGGCCCAGGGUCAAGACUCCCACACAUACACCAAGGAUGUAAGAAGAUCCUGGCAGAUCAUAUGGUGAUGGGGAACAUUAAGGGUACACAAAGAUAAGGAAACAAAUCAGUAACCUGUUAUUGCAAUGUGGACACAAGGAUAAGUAAUGAGAGGAACACAAUGAGUCAUCUACUAUGAGCAGUAGCUGACUUGGGGCUCGGCUAUUAACUGUGAACUCCAAAAAACUAAGUAGUUCCAGGCUUAACCCCCAUGGCUGAAGGGCAAUGAAGAGGGUACUAAAAUAAUGACUGCAUAAUUAAUAGUAUUGUCCACUGAAAAUGCCCAGAUCAUAAGAGUCACUAGGAGGGUCCCCCAUAUGCACAUUUUUAAUGUUUAUAUGCAAUAAAUAUUCCUUGAAAGCCUUCUCUGUAUCAGAUGCUAUGCUGGUGCUGUAUAUUCAAUCCUGAACAUGACACAAGCCCUACUUUGAGAGUCUAAUGACAGAGGGUGCUGGGACUCUUUCAUUCCUGUUGUAUCUCUAUUGUGACCUUCAUAACACCAGCUCCCAUUACUGUCUUAAGAGGUAGGACUUUUUAGACCUGAUUGUCCUUUAGGAAGGAGGGAAGGAAUCUCUAAACCAAACCCUAAUCUCAGCUCCUUCUCUUGAGUAAGAGCUCUGAUGGAGGGUAAGUGAGCGGCAACUAACCCCAAAGUGAAGGCAGCCAUUACCUAAUCUCAGUCAUCACCGUUUGGGGCAGCCUGAAGCCCUGUCAGGAUGAGGAAUGUCCUAACAGGUCUCCCAGAUGGAAAGCAGCACAGGCUGUCAAGGGCCAGUUAGUUAUAAACUGGUUACCACAUCAAGACAGAGUAAGCACACAAGACUGACCAGGACUGGGUCAAGAACACUGAGUAAGUCAUGUGCUCAUCAUCCUGGGAAAGAUGGCUUCACGGAGGAUGGCUGAGAAGGAAGAAGAGCUCAGAAAGAUCUGCUUCUUCAGAAAGGCAAAAAGCCAUGUGGAUUGUUCAAGUGAGGUCUUGACAGUUGGGCCUUUCUCCCUCUGUGGAACCUCUUUAGGCCUAAAGAUUCUAAACCAACUGCAGUGAGGCCCCUUAAGAAGGAGCCCUUCUCAGCAAAGACCUGCCUCCACUGUUGAUAUCAGAGUUGGGAAACUAUGAUCUCUGGGCAUACUAGUCACUUGUGUGAUGUGGCAGCUAAUCAGCUGGUCCUCCUUCAGGAGGAGACUGAGGGUUAGGGCUGAGAUACAUACUUCCCAUAUAUUCUGCUCUCACUUUGGCUGUUGAAAAUUUGGAGGACAGAGCUAAACACCUGAAAUAAAUUGUAUAGCAGGAAUCCCAGAGGAGGAGACAUUUGGGGCCAGGAUGGGGAUGGGAAGAAACAUAUAACAUCCUCCCUGACCCCUUCAGAUGUUCACAGAAGCAGAAGUUCAAAAUACUCUCUUAAUCCACUGUGCACACAUUCAUGUAGUGUAACUUAAAAGCUAAUAGAUUUGCUUUCCUUGGUUCCUUAUUCUAAGUUUGGAAAAGCAAAUAUCAAAAAUGAGAUUUCUAAUGAUUUUUUUUACUAAAAUGUAAUUUUAUCUUCUUGUCAGCUUUUUUUUUUUUUACUUGACUACUACUUUUGAAAUAAUCCGGACAUUGAUUUACAUUUGAUCAUCAUCUCCAGUUUUAAGUUUCCCUCAUGUUACUGUUUGCCAUCAGCCAGGUCCCUUUCAACAACAUACUUGUAGUCACAGAGGAGUUUAUUGGCCAGUAAAAAAAUACUCUUCGAAAGUACAUUCAAACCACCUCCAAUCCAUAUUAUGUUUCAGAUUUCCUAAACUUGGGGGUGAAAUUUUUUCUGAAGGUCAAAAGUUAUCAUAAAAACUGAAGCCAUGUUAAGAUUACAAAGCUGGUUGGUUCCUGUGCUCUAGGACUUGCCAGAGAGAUUCAUGAUCCGAUCCAGUUUGAAAUCUGAAGUGAAGGAAUGCCACACCCAAAUGAGCUUUCUUCUCUCUGUUGUCCCCAUACAGAAAGAGGUCAAUUUCUCUGCAAUUCUUAGCACUUCAAUCUAUGAAAUCAUGGGGUUUAUUUCCAGGGUACUAAUAAAACCAGUACUUUAAGGGAAGGCUGUUUCCAACAAGACUAUAUGAAAACUUUCUACAAAUAGGCCAAUGUCUUCAUUGUUCAGAGCACUACUGAUUCAUUUCUGUCUCAGGGCCUUUGCUGUCUAUUCCCAUGAUAUGGGAUGCCUCUGCCCUGGUCUCCUGCUGAGACCAAACUCUAUUUCAACCUUCAAGGCCUAGCUUAAGAUGCACCUUCUCCCAAAAAAAUUCUCUUGGUCUUUAUCAACCUGCCCUCCCCCUCGUCUCCACCCCUAACCUGCUCAAAUAUAUUUCUUGUGGCAGGUGAUAUCCCAUGACAUAGCAUUCAGUACAGAAAAGGGCUAGAAGUACAGUAAGACAGCUUGACUGAGGAGGUCUCAGACUCCUGACAAUGGAAGUAUGGCCAGGUGCAGCUUAGUUCAUGUAGUUUGGGGAAAAACAGACCUGCCCAGGACUGAAUCCUCACUCUGACACUUACUAGCUAUGUAGCCUCAGGCAGAUUACUUUCCUUCCCUGGGCUGCAGUGUCCCUUUCAAAAAUGCUAUGGGGUUGCUUCCAGGCUAAAACUGGUUUAGGUGACGACCAAUUUCCUAAACAUUGGAGCUACAAAGAUGAGUAAGGUAAAGCCCUGAUCUUGAAAAAGAGCUCAGAGUCUACAGACAAGCUAUUUGCAAUAGUUUCAGGCUCUUUGAGGGAAACAGUUAAGAGGUGUCAUGGGAAUAGUAAACUGAAAGCAGCAGGGAGUAGGGGAGAAACUGUGGAGUCUGAAGUGAUACCAGAAUUGCAGAUCUGUGCUGAAAGCUGGAAAAGAGUGACAGUAGUAGGAAUGGAAGUGGAAGGAAGGAAUGGAGGAAAGGAAGAUGAGAGACAUUCCAAGUAGAGCAAAAUUACAGGCCUUGGCGCAUUUCAGACUUAAGAGGAUAGAGGAGAUUGGUGACGAAUCUUGACCAAAUUUCUAGCUAAGGAGACAGACACAGGCACCAAUAGAAAUGGAGUUAACUGGUUUGGGUAGUGGAAGAGAUCAACCUCUGCAGACAACAGAUAUGUCUCACAAACAACUGAUGCCAAUCUUGAAGUCCAACAGCUUCUUUUUUCACAAGCCUACUGAGUCCUCUUCCUCACCCCACCUCCAUCCCACUUGAUUUUACUGAGAAAGUUCACUGGUACGUUGAACAACUAGCUUUGCGAGACCUAGGCAAACAGCAUGAACAACUAAUAAGAAGUACACUCCCCAUGCAUCUUUUUUAUUGGCUCUACUUGACUUUUAAAGUUAAAAUGACAUUAGCCUAGGAUAGCCCAGGUGUCUCUUGACCAUUCCUCCAAUAUUACAAAUAUCCAACUAUCCUCUGAAGCUGCCCGUGUAGAGCAAGGCAGUCUGGUCCGUUACAAUUGGAGGAUGGUACUUCCACAUUCUGAACCAGUAACUGUCACCCAGGACCAGCCAGAACCUGCUUUCUGUGGAACCCCCAACCUCCUCCUUUCCACCUCAGACACUGAGCAUGCUCACUGCAGAUUAAGAAGAGAAUACUGGCCUUUCCGUCUUUGGUCACAAAAGGAGAGCUUAAACAGAGAUGCUGAAAAGGCAAGUAUAGCAGAGAAUGUGAAGAAAUCCCCGCCAUGGUACCCACAGCAGAUGUUUUCGAAGUUUGGGGAUGGUGAAGGACCCAGGGGACGGUGCCAAGGAGCAGCACGAGGUGCCGUGUGAUAAAUGGAGCUCUCUUUCCCAUUACAGGAACAUAGCAAGUUUCAAGAGCAAAUCAGAAACCUAGAAUGAUUAAUUGUGUAGUCUACAACGAGUCCUGUUGUGUUUGUCUAUGAAUCCCUUUGCUCUGAAGAUCAGACACACCAGGUGCAGAGAAACACCUGGCUAUGAUGAACCCUGUGAGUUUCUUAGUAACCCACUCCAAAAAAAAGGGGAACAGUGGUUUUGUUUACAGGUGAACAGUAGGAAGGGGAUCAAAGCUGGUGAGAAAACUGAAAUGGUGGAGUAAGAACAAAAGCAUCCCUUUAACAUCAAGCCAAGCACUGUCAUAUCUCUGGCUUAGCUUCCUCUUUCUCUAUACCUGCUUGGGCAUCAAUGAGGAACAAAGUAUUUUAAGGAAGUCAUAACUUCGUUCUUACUUAUUCCCACCCACCGAUUCCGCGGUCACCUCGCAGUCACCUUUGCAUGUGACCUAAGGCAGUUUCAGCUAAGCGUUAGCAGUGAAGAGCAUAGCCAUUGAGCACACCGGUUUCUGGGCCCAAACCCCACAUUUUACUACCCAUGUGACACGGCACAAAUUAUCGAAAGUCUCUGUGCUUCACCAUCUGCCCAAAUAUGAUAUAACGUUAAUAAUACCCACCUAGGAAUUCUUAUCUAAGUAAAGUACACAUGAAUGUAAGAUGCCUGAAACAAUCAGUAAAUAGUAGCUAUUGUUGUUAAACAAGAUGGCCAGGGAGAUUACUGUUAUUUUUCUUUAAAGUGUAACCAGCACGUUAACAAUACUGUUUGCAUACUAAAUGAGUGUGUCAAUUACACAUAGUUAUUGACCCUUCCUUAAAGCUGAUGAGGUACACUAAUAUUUAGUUAGCUAAUUUGGUUGAACUGUAGAGGCAGCAUGGCUUGGUGGAAAGAUCUAGAUUCAAAUGCCAGCUCUAUUGUUCACUAAUUGGAAGCCUUAAAAAAAAAAAGAAAGGUGUUUCAUCUCUCGAUGCCUCAUCUGUUCUUUAAAAAGUGAGAAGAAAAAUACUUCAUUUUCAGGGUGGUAGUAAGAACUAAAUGAGAGAAUGCAAAUGCCUAGUGCAUAAUAGGUGUCUGUAAUAAAGGAUCGUUGACAAGACAGCACACAUUUACCUUACAGCAAUAAAAGUGCUCUCCAUUUUUAAUACCCUUUAAUUGUUUUCAUGAAUUCAUAGCAGCAUUCCUCCAAAUUAGUCUGAAUUUGUUAUGUUUUGUCAUGUGGUUUAAUUCCAAGUACAGCUAAAUGACAAGUGACCACGUCAGAAUGGUGCUGGGGGAGGGUAUCAUCUAAAACAGAUUAAUGUGGAUGCAGCUCUUUUAAAAAUAUCUAGGGGGGAAAACUCUAAAAUGUCUCUUGAACACACCUCAAGCUGUUAGAGAGAGGAAGCUUUUACGUUUAUCUUUUCUAAGGGUAAACAAUUGGGUUUAGAUUAAUUGAAAACAAGGAGGGGAAAAAAAUGCACAGAUCUAUGUAAAACAGAGAGUGUCUAUGACAAGUGUUUCCAAAUACGUGGUUUCCAAAUAUGUAAUUGGUACAUUACAUAUCUCUGGCUUCUCUGAUUUCUAAAAAGCCAUGAAAGUUAAAUUAGGUUGAUUUAUUUCCGAAAGUGGUCAUUUGGAUUAUGUACCAAUAAUGGGACAUCAGUAUCCCUGAAAGCAAAAGAUUUAAAAUACAUAAAGAUAUUUUUAUGGCCCGCCGUGCCUAUUUCUAAAAUACUCUAAAUGUGAUACUGCCUUAGGCUGGCUUCCUUGGAAGGAGACACUGGGACAACAAUUCAUGUGCACGUGUGUGUUCCUAAGGAAGGGCUCCCCGUGGGCACCUAUUGGGAUGAGCUCUGGGUGUUGUAUGGAAACCAAUUUGACAAUAAAUUUCACAUUAAAAAAAAAGGAAGGGCUCCCCAAAAAAGAACUGGUAAGGAAGAGGGGAAAGCAGGACAGAGAAGGGAAAGAAAGCAAGCAAGGCUUUUUCCAUGGAGGACGGCUUUGGACCUGGUUCUGCAGGAGAACUCCGGAGGAUUCGUUAUGCUUAGAGUGGUCCCAGCUGGAAAAAAGCUGGAGCCUUUCUACAGCUGUGCCUGCUGGUCACUGAGCAGGGUCACUGGGAGAUGAGACAUGCUUUCCCAGACACUUCCUGCCCUCUGGAGCAACUGCCCAGGGAGAGUCACAGGUGCUGGCCCUUGGAGGUAAAAGCACAAGGACACUGGGGAAAGGCACAUCGCAACAGGAAAAAGUAACUUUUCAUGGAGCAGGGAGAGGAUGAAAAAAAUAAAGUCACAGCUUUCCUUUCAA